rnacentral:lncRNA from 13 species
CUCAGUCUAAUUUACAAGCUUGUUUGGUCUAUGUGAUGUUAUAAAAUACUUUUUCGAUAAAUUUUACCAGCAUGUAAAAAAGCGGUAUUUCAUAUAACAAUCACUUUUUAAAUUUUUGACUUCUCUUUUAUCACUGGAAGAUCUGACAACACUGAGCUGACGUUACUAAACUCCAACUGUCAACUGGAGCUGAGGAGUGGCUGUCCCUCGAUGGACCAAGUGUGUCUCCAGUUUGCCAAAGUCCUCUCUCCCAGCUUAUGUGACUCCUUUGCUCCUAUCAACACCUGAACUUGCAAUCCCCAUUCUGAUGCUCCUGUCCUAAGAAACACAAAAUUGGUAGCACCAAUUUUUGGUGCUAAAAUUUUUAGCAAAAAUUUUUAGCACCAAUUUUUGGUGCUAAAUCCUCUAAGGCAAUUAGCAUCAGUGGAUACAGAAAAGAUGCUGCUACUUUGGAGAAUUCAAUUCAGAGAAUUCGGUCUGAGGUAACAGGAGGACAUCAUUGACAACAUGACCUUCGGCAGAAAGCACAAGAUCAAACUUGAGGAAAGUGUCUGCAACAAGAGCUGCCCAAGCCGAAGACUGUUCAUGGGGAUUGCUGACUCUGAUGGAAGCCAAACCUUCAUUCAUUUACCCACCCACUUUAGUCAUCUAUUUGUUUGUUAACAAAUAUUUCAACAAAUAUACACUGGGAGUCUAUUAUGUGUCAACACUGGGCUGGAUGCUGGGAAUUCCAGGAAACAGAACGGAGGUGUGCUUCCAAGCUGGUGAAAAACCCAAAGUAGGAGAUCAACAGAAGGAAUGCCUUUGGGAAAUCAGAACUUGUCUUCAAUACACAGAUCAUAACGUUGGACAGUAGGUCCUACUUCAGCUAGGAGGCUUCUUCCAUGAUUCUUACUGGGAAAAGAACCACAUCCAAGAUGUGGCUAACACAGAAAACACGGAGCAACAACCUGCCAUACCCGAGAGGUCCUGAUAGCAUCCGCAGCAUCACCAGAGGUUCUAGGGCCAUAAACAAAAAGGAGGUGCAAAUACAGAGGCUCUGCAGAGAAGCACCAUUAUCAUUCAUAAUUACACACUUUACAUGUUUCAAACCAUCAAGGUAUUGCAGCAAGGAAAUUACACAGCUGAAUUAAGAAUUCCUCCAGAGGAGAAUGAAGGUAAUGAAGUCUAUGUUGAAUAUAAACCCAAACCAAUUAAUUCUCCCAACGCUACUGCACAGAUUAUAAAUUCUACCAGUGCAGUUCGAACCAUCAAAAUAAAACAACACUACAAACUUCUUUAUUAGCA